GCCGCGUGCCCCCGCGCUCGCAGGGGUUGGCGACUGGGGGCGGUUGGGAGUUCGUGUUUAGGGAGGAAGGUGAGAGGUGCGGGAUCUGCCCACGAGGGCAGUCGCUCUCGGAGAAUCGGGGAAUGGCUCUGUCAGGUCGCAGGCCCUCCUCCGCCUUUAUCCCCAUCACGCACAAAAAGAAUGGGCCUUGCAAGGGAUGUUUAUUAUGCACUUUUAAGUGACUAUUCAGAAAAGAGCAGGAGGCACAAUAAAAAAGGCUUCUGCCCCACCAAUUCCCUUCCCUUGAAGAAAAAAAGAAAGAGAAAGCCACCCACAAAGCUAACAGGUACCCAGUGAUGUUUGCUCUCAUGGCAGACAUCGAUUGGACACUGCUUGAUUCUCUGCCACCUUUAGGAUGCUUCUUGCCUGCUGCACAUGUCUGGGGGCCUCAUCCAUGACCCUAUACAAGAGUAAAAUUCCUAUUGAUAUCAACAAAGUGCUUGAUGUGAGUGUCAGCUGUAUCACUAAAGCCAUCCCAGAACUUCUCAGGACAUUUCAGGUAUACUUCAAUAAAGUUUAACAAAAAAAAAGGUCUUGACCCACGAUUGCUGGCAUUGCUGGUUUGAAGAUGGAGGAGCCGUGUGUAAAGGAAUGCAGGUGGCCUUCAGCAGCCAACAGCAGCCCCUGGCUGACAACCAGCAAGGAAACCGGGCCUCAGUCCUACUGCUGCAAGGAACUGAAUUUAGCCAACGAUCUAAAUGAGCUUGGAAGCAGUUUCUUCCCAGCUCUUCCACACAAGAGCCCAGCACUGAAUGUAGCCUUGCCCAUGAUGAGCACCUAGAAACCUUUGACUGAUUGACUUAUAACGCAAUAUGAACUCAGAGAAGGAAGGCCCUGGCAGUGAGAAAUCCGCCUUGCAGAGGAAGAACUGAAGCUGAGCCUUGAAAGACGAGUGUUUGUUGAAUGAGUGAAUUAAGAUUUUGAAUCAGCUAAUCUUUUGAAGGGAUUUUUUUAAAAUUGUAAGUAACUUUAUUUAAUCUAUACUCUGGUUCAGUAACUUCUCCAUUGAAGGUGAUUUUUCCCAAUAAUUCUUUGUUCAGUUCAUAUUAGACCCGGCAUUCUUCUCCUUUCAGAUUUUAAUAUGUUAAAAAUCCAUAGUUAACAACUCAACUUGCCUUCUUUUUCCACCAACUCAAGAAGUUAGGGACACUUUGUUGAUGUCCUCAAAUUUAUCCUGCUGAGCUCCAAACAGGUUUUGUGUCAUCUAAGGAAGUGGAGGUUCCUUGGGAGGUUAAGAGUUCAAGGAGCAAAAAGACCAUUUUAAUUGCAUCAAUAAUCCAGUCGACAGCACUUACUGGUUUUGUCUGCUCAACCAUUCUUUCAGUUUUCACCAAAAAAGGAACUCAUUUUCAUUUCCCCACUGUUGCUGGUAGUUGGAGGUUGCAAUAUGCAAAAGCCUAUAUGCGUAAGACCCCUCAAAUCAGUCAGUACUCAAAAUUGUGUGCAAAAUAUGAAUAAAAUAUUGAUUUCAUUAAAAAU
rnacentral:lncRNA from 1 species